rnacentral:tRNA from 1 species
GCCGAGGUGGCGGAACUGGUAGACGCGCCUGACUUAGGAUCAGGUAUCUUCGGAUGUGCAGGUUCGAUUCCUGUCCUCGGUA